UGUGAAGAAGGUCUUCGGAUUGUAAAGCACUUUAAGUGGGGAGGAAGGGCAGUUACCUAAUACGUAAUUGUUUUGACGUAACCGACAGAAUAAGCACCGGCUAACUCUGUGCCAGCAGCCGCGGUAAUACAGAGGGUGCAAGCGUAAAUCGGAAUUACUGGGCGUAAAGCGCGCGUAGGUGGUUUGUUAAGUUGGAUGUGAAAUCCCCGGGCUCAACCUGGGAACUGCAUUCAAAACUGACUGACUAGAGUAUGGUAGAGGGUGGUGGAAUUUCCUGUGUAGCGGUGAAAUGCGUAGAUAUAGGAAGGAACACCAGUGGCGAAGGCGACCACCUGGGACUAAUACUGACACUGAGGUGCGAAAGCGUGGGGAGCAAACAGGAUUAGAUNCCCUGGUAGUCCACGCCGUAAACGAUGUCAACNAGCCGUCGGAAGCCUUGAGCUUUUAGUGGCGCAG
rnacentral:rRNA from 1 species